rnacentral:rRNA from 1 species
AUACGGAGGGUGCAAGCGUUACUCGGAAUCACUGGGCGUAAAGCGCGCGCAGGCGGGCUGAUAAGUUGGAUGUGAAAGCCUACGGCUCAACCGUAGAACUGCAUCCAAAACUGUCAGUCUAGAGUGUGGGAGAGGAAGAUGGAAUUAGCUGUGUAGGGGUAAAAUCCGUAGAGAUAACUAGGAAUACCAAAAGCGAAGGCAAUCUUCUGGAACACUACUGACGCUGAGGCGCGAAGGCGUGGGGAGCAAACAGGAUUAGAAACCCUGGUAGUCC